rnacentral:rRNA from 1 species
UACGUAGGGUGCAAGCGUUGUCCGGAAUUAUUGGGCGUAAAGAGCUCGUAGGCGGUUUGUCGCGUCUGCUGUGAAAACCUAAGGCUCAACCUUGGGCUUGCAGUGGGUACGGGCAGACUAGAGUGGCGGUAGGGGUGACUGGAAUUCCUGGUGUAGCGGUGGAAUGCGCAGAUAUCAGGAGGAACACCAAUGGCGAAGGCAGAUCUCUGGGCCGUAACUGACGCUGAGGAGCGAAAGCAUGGGGAGCGAACAGG